rnacentral:rRNA from 1 species
ACGAUGAUGCCAGCUUGCUGGUGGAUUAGUGGCGAACGGGUGAGUAACACGUGAGUAACCUGCCCUUGACUCUGGGAUAAGCGUUGGAAACGACGUCUAAUACCGGAUACGACCUUCGACCGCAUGGUUUGUUGGUGGAAAGAUUUUUUGGUUGGGGAUGGACUCGCGGCCUAUCAGGUUGUUGGUGGGGUAAUGGCUCACCAAGCCUACGACGGGUAGCCGGCCUGAGAGGGUGACCGGCCACACUGGGACUGAGACACGGCCCAGACUCCUACGGGAGGCAGCAGUGGGGAAUAUUGCACAAUGGGCGAAAGCCUGAUGCAGCAACGCCGCGUGAGGGAUGACGGCCUUCGGGUUGUAAACCUCUUUUAGUAAGGAAGAAGAACUUCGGUUUGACGGUACUUGCAGAAAAAGCACCGGCUAACUACGUGCCAGCAGCCGCGGUAAUACGUAGGGUGCAAGCGUUGUCCGGAAUUAUUGGGCGUAAAGAGCUCGUAGGCGGUUUGUCGCGUCUGCUGUGAAAUCUGGGGGCUCAACUCCCAGCCUGCAGUGGGUACGGGCAGACUAGAGUGCGGUAGGGGAGAUUGGAAUUCCUGGUGUAGCGGUGGAAUGCGCAGAUAUCAGGAGGAACACCGAUGGCGAAGGCAGAUCUCUGGGCCGUAACUGACGCUGAGGAGCGAAAGCAUGGGGAGCGAACAGGAUUAGAUACCCUGGUAGUCCAUGCCGUAAACGUUGGGAACUAGAUGUAGGGGCCAUUCCACGGUUUCUGUGUCGCAGCUAACGCAUUAAGUUCCCCGCCUGGGGAGUACGGCCGCAAGGCUAAAACUCAAAGGAAUUGACGGGGGCCCGCACAAGCGGCGGAGCAUGCGGAUUAAUUCGAUGCAACGCGAAGAACCUUA